CACGUAGGGGGCGAGCGUUGUCCGGAUUUAUUGGGCGUAAAGAGCUCGUAGGCGGUUUCGUAAGUCGGAUGUGAAAACUCCAGGCUCAACUUGGAGACGCCAUUCGAUACUGCGAUGACUUGAGUCCGGUAGGGGAGUGUGGAAUUCCUGGUGUAGCGGUGAAAUGCGCAGAUAUCAGGAGGAACACCGGCGGCGGAGGCGGCACUCUGGGCCGGUACUGACGCUGAGGAGCGAAAGCGUGGGUAGCAAACAGG
rnacentral:rRNA from 1 species